rnacentral:rRNA from 1 species
ACCUGCAAGUCGAGCGGAUCUUCAUUAGCUUGCUUUUGAAGAUCAGCGGCGGACGGGUGAGUAACACGUGGGCAACCUGCCUGUAAGACUGGGAUAACUUCGGGAAACCGGAGCUAAUACCGGAUAAUCCUUUCCCUCACAUGAGGGAAAGCUGAAAGACGGUUUCGGCUGUCACUUACAGAUGGGCCCGCGGCGCAUUAGCUAGUUGGUGAGGUAAUGGCUCACCAAGGCAACGAUGCGUAGCCGACCUGAGAGGGUGAUCGGCCACACUGGGACUGAGACACGGCCCAGACUCCUACGGGAGGCAGCAGUAGGGAAUCUUCCGCAAUGGACGAAAGUCUGACGGAGCAACGCCGCGUGAACGAUGAAGGCUUUCGGGUCGUAAAGUUCUGUUGUCAGGGAAGAACAAGUACCGGAGUAACUGCCGGUACCUUGACGGUACCUGACCAGAAAGCCACGGCUAACUACGUGCCAGCAGCCGCGGUAAUACGUAGGUGGCAAGCGUUGUCCGGAAUUAUUGGGCGUAAAGCGCGCGCAGGCGGUUCCUUAAGUCUGAUGUGAAAGCCCCCGGCUCAACCGGGGAGGGUCAUUGGAAACUGGGGAACUUGAGUGCAGAAGAGGAGAGCGGAAUUCCACGUGUAGCGGUGAAAUGCGUAGAGAUGUGGAGGAACACCAGUGGCGAAGGCGGCUCUCUGGUCUGUAACUGACGCUGAGGCGCGAAAGCGUGGGGAGCGAACAGGAUUAGAUACCCUGGUAGUCCACGCCGUAAACGAUGAGUGCUAAGUGUUAGAGGGUUUCCGCCCUUUAGUGCUGCAGCAAACGCAUUAAGCACUCCGCCUGGGGAGUACGGCGCAAGGCUGAAACUCAAAGGAAUUGACGGGGGCCGCACAAGCGGUGGAGCAUGUGGUUAAUUCAAGCAACGCGAAAACCUUACCCUUGACUCCUCUGACACCCUAGAGAUAGGGCGUUCCCCUUCGGGAGAUGACGGGGGCAUG